UACGAAGGGGGGCUAGCGUUGCUCGGAAUCACUGGGCGUAAAGCGCACGUAGGCGGCUUUUCUAAGUCAGGGGUGAAAUCCUGGAGCUCAACUCCAGAACUGCCUUUGAUACUGGGAGCUCGAGUCCGGAAGAGGUGAGUGGAACUGCGAGUGUAGAGGUGAAAUUCGUAGAUAUUUCGCAAGAACACCAGUGGCGAAGGCGGCUCACUGGUCCGGUACUGACGCUGAGGUGCGAAAGCGUGGGGAGCAAACAGG
rnacentral:rRNA from 1 species